GGAAGUAGGGGCCAAUUCUCCCGUUCCUGGCAUGUGAUUAAAAAACCAGUAGUAACAACAUCAAAACCACCCCAGCUGGUCAACUCUUAUUCUUGUUUCAAGGAACAACUCCUUAAAUUUACCCAGACGCCAGAAAAUUAACCAGGUGAAUUUUCUAAAUUCCUCUCUCCAGAAAGGUGUACGAUUUUAUGGGGAAAAUCCACUUUCUGUGCUUAUCCUGUAGAAAAACUUAUCUUUCUGGGGCUGUGCAAUUAUUUGAAAGUAGGUGGCUCUUUUUCCUGAAAUAAAAGGAGAAAAAGUAGAGAAUGUUUCAGAGCACCAAUAACACAGUAUCCAUUUUUUAUUUUUUGUCUACUGAAUAGAAGAGGAGAUGACAUCUGCAUAGAGAUAGAACAUCAAGAAGGAAAAAUUUUCAGAAUUAUAAUAAGUUGCUUUUCUCUAAUAGCUGCUUCAGGGAAAGUUUUUUAACUGAAAGGCAAAUCCUUAUGACUUAUUUCCCCAGUAUAUCCUUCUCCAUCUUCUUAGCUGCCUCCUUUCCCAUUCCUGAUAUUUUGAAGGUUAAAUCCUUGGUUCAAAUAUUCCUCACGUCACUUUUUUGCAUAUUUUUAUACCGAAAACCAUGCUACUAGGAGAAACAUCAGCACCGCAGCUCAAUGCAGGUCUGCAUGAAAGAAAACAGAGAAAUAUUUACUUGCACAGGUGUGAGGAGACACUUCACUAUUACAUUUUGCUCCUCCUGUAACUGUCCCUUCAUUAUUCACAGUAUCCAGCACAUGCAUUGUACUCUUCUUGGGAGCUAGGAAAUGUCUGAGAGGGGAAAUCAGAAGCUGCUAAAUGGUUACAGCUCUGACUCUUGGGGAUUGCAAUACUGUAUGAGACUGUGUCAUGGGAGAUGGCAGGAACUCAAUGCAAAUAAAAUCACUGAUUGAUCCAGGGACAGUGUGGCACAGGCAUGCUAUGGGAGUGCUUUCAAAUACUAAGAAUUAUUCAUAACAUCCACAUUAGAUAUCAAUUAAUUGAUUUCUGAAGAUUUCCAUUUAAUCCCUAGGCAGGAGAAGAGAACUAUUUUGUCACCGUUUAAAGUAUUUAAAGUUAUCAUGACAGACUUAUGAGGUUAAUAUUAUUAUUCCAUUUUGCAAUUCCUGAAACUGAAAUUCAUAGAGGACAGGUGAUUUGCACAAGACCAUGACGCUAAAGAGUAACAGACUCUAGAUUUCUAUUCAGGGUAUAUAACUCAUAAAUUCAGCUACAUGGUUACUUUAUAGUUAAUCUGAAUUCUUCUAUAUAUAAUAUGGAGCAGAGCAUUUAGUUUUAGGUGGAUAGUCCAAUAGGAAGUGAUCUGAAUAGAUUAGAAACAUUACUUACAGACCAAGGAGACUCUACUAGUUGAACUAAGCAAACCAGAAAGUUACCUAAGAAAUUGAGUCUGUUGAAAAGACUGACAGAAAUCCACAUCUGAAAAUAAUGAAAAUUUUCCCCCAUUUUCUUUUCUCCUGUAUUCUGUCUGAUGGUGGCACCAAUGAGCAACGGAAUAACCAAAAGGCACCUGGCAAAAAGCUCUAGGCAUUCUAACUCUAAAAGGACUGAUGAAGACGCUUUUCUGACUACAGACAGAAGGACUCCCCGUUACUGAAUGUUUUUAAUGUACCAUCUGCAUUAUAUAAAUUGUCCCAUUAAUCCUCCAAACCAUUCUAAGAGGACAGGUUUUGCCUUAAGUUAUCCAGAUGUUGUGUGGUGAGGUGAAGGAUUCCAACAGUUUUGUUCGUUGAGAAAAGCAGAAUCCUUUUUUUUUUUCAUUAACAAUGAGAAUGAAUUUUCCUAUUCCAUCAAGAUUUCUAUGUGGCCAUCUCUUCAGGACAUAGGUAUCAGCUACUGUUUUAAAUUUAGGAAAUGCACACACAUAUGCAACCAACCACAUAAUGUUUCCAAAGCAAUAUAUUGAGAUUGAUACAAAUACACAUUUUUCAAGAAUCCUGGACUAAUCCCACACUACUCUGAGCCGCCUUUACUUUUUAAGCCUCUUUAUUUCUAUUAUAUGACUGUGAACUAAGUAGAUUUAACUUUUGUAUGCUUUUAAAAUCAGUUAUAUUUUCUGAUAUGUGAUAACAAAUAUACUGUGUAUUUCAUUGAAACGUAUAGGAAAACUGCUCUUUUUUUCCUUUUAAAAUCAAUGCCUAUGGUAUAGUCAACAAAGUAUUUAAUGAGUGGCUAUUUUGAGCCAUUUUUAAUUGGCUGGACUACUGCAGACAUACCAUUUUAAAUGAUUACACAUAUGUCUAGAGAAUCAGCAUAGGAUUUUUGUUUUCCCUUUGAGAUUGAACAAUUUUUAUUUCAUCAUUACUAAAACUUAGCUGACAAUUUUUAUUUUUUCAUUACUAAAACUUAGCUGGAUGUCAGUUUCUGCCUUUAAAUAAAAUAUCCAAAUCCAGGAUUAUUCUCAAUUGCAAAAAUGCAGCUGGUCUCAACUAUUCCUUUUAUAUUUUCUUUCACAUAGGGUAGAAAAUGGUGAAUCAUUGUACUUUCAUAUAAUAAAAAGAUGUCUUGAAUUUUAAAUGUAAUUGUCCUUUCUUGAGUAACUUCUAAAUGAAGUGAAACCACAAAGGCAGUUUGGCACACUAUUGAUUCUAUCCUGGUUAUCUUUUUUGUCAGGCUAGAAUGUGAAGGGAAAGGGUUUGGAGCACAGAAUGGUUUUCCUUUUAAAGAAAAAAAAUUGAAUGAAAAAUUGGCAAUGAAAAUAAAAUACUGGACCUAGAUUCCCCAACUCUGUGAAUGUUGUUAUUAUUAGCCUCCACCUUCUCUAGCCCUGUUGCUGGAGCCAGACGCAC
rnacentral:lncRNA from 10 species